GGCAAGUAUAUAAAGAAAUUAUUAUGGAUAAUUAGCUAUAUAUUAAAGAAUAUCUAGUCAAUCUAGUUUCUAAGAGAAAUCAGAUAAUAAACGAAGUGAAUUGAAAUAUCUUAGUAACUUUAGGAAAAGAAAUCAAACGAGAUUGUUAUUUGGUGUCAACUAAAUAACAAAAGCCUAAUAACAAAACUUGUUAAAAGUAAAAUGGAUUAAAAUCUGUUUGAAUAUAGGGGAACCUUCCUCUAAGGCUAAAAAUGAUAUAUAAGCGAUAGUGAAAAGUACCGUGAGGUAAAAUUUGAAAUAGUAAUUUUAUAAGCAGCUCGAGUGAAAUUUAAAUAAAUAAUAAGAGCGUACCUUUUGCAUAAUGGGUCAGCAAGUUAAUUUUAGAUGCAAGCAAUGAUUUUAUGCGCUUUUCGCAUAAAACUAGCUUAGAUAAACCAAUUAUGAAAAAAUGAAUAAGUAUCUAGAAUUAGACCCGAAGGCUAGUGAUCUUACCAUGGUCAGGGUUAUAAAAGCUCGAACGGGUUAUCGUUGUAUAGAUAUCCGAAGAAUUGUGGUAAGUUAGUGAAAGACAAAACUGACUAGUAUAGCUGGUUUUCCGCGAAACCUAUAUGAGUAGGUAAUUUAAUUAACAUCUUAGCAGGUACAGAACUGUGAUCUCGGACAAUAUCUUUUGAUUUUGUCAACAUCGGGGGGUUGUAGUGACUUUACCGGAGAGUAUUUGCACUCGGAAGGGCAAAGAUGAAUGUUGAAUAAUCGGACAUAGUGCGAUAAGGUUGUAUGUCUAAAGGGAAACAGCCCAGAACAAGAGUUAAGGUUCCAAAAUUAUUGUUGAGUGAAAUUAAGGAUGUUUUUUUUUAAUACAAUCAGGAAAUAGGCUUAGAAGCGGCCAUUUUUUGAAGACCUCGUAACAGAGCACUGAUUAAUUUUUUAGAAAAAAACACCGAAAAUUUAACGGAUCUAAACAAUAUACCGAAACCUUGUACACAUUAAUAUAAUAAUAAUAUUGUAUAUGUGGGGUAGCGGAACAUUGGAUAAAUAUUAAUUAUUAUUUCUUAUUUAAGAAAUAAUAAAUAUGGAUUAUUAAUAAACUAAAUAAAAUUAAAUUAAUCCAUUAAUAUAAUCCAAGAGAGAAUGCUGACAUGAGUAACGAAAAAGGAAUAUCCUCGCCUUAAGCUUAUGGUAUUUUAUUUAAUUUUCGGUAUCUAAAUAUAUUAAUCAAAAGGUAAUUUUGAUGAUAUUUUUAUAAAAAAUACUUAAUAGUAAAAAACAAAACCUUUAAUAAGUAAUAAAGGUUCUGGAAAAUUUUUUACUUAAAAUAAAAUAUAUGUAAACUAAUAGUCUUAUGAAUAAAGCUCAAUAUGUUAUAUUGUAUUUACUAUCUAAUUUCUUGUUACAAGUUUUCAAGAUUACAUAGUUUAAAUAGAAUGUAAUAGAGUUUUAUAAAAAAAAAAAAGAUAUAUUUUAUUUUUAUAUUUUACAUUAUUGUAUAUAUUAAGACUAUUAUACAAAUAUAUAAUGUAAAUAUAAUAAGGUUUUUCUAUAUACCGUACCUAGAUACUAUCACAAGUAAGCAAGUAGAGAAUACAAAGGCGUUUGAGUGAACAAUCAUUAAGGAACUCGGCAAAUUGACUACCGUAACUUCGGGAUAAGGAGGGCCAUUAUCAUUAGUUUAACAUACCUUACAGGUAUGAUUUAAUUAAAUUAAGGAUAAGAGGAAACAUAAAAUAAUGUUGUACGACUGUUUAAUAAAAACACAGCACUCUGCAAAGAUAAAAUAUCAAAGUAUUGAGUGUGAUGUCUGCCCAAUGUCGGCUGGAUAACGGAUUUACCUUGGUUUUUAACUGAGGUUUUGAAGGAUACCCCGAUUAAUGGCGGCCUUACCUAUGAGGGUCCUAAGGUAGCGAAAUACCUUGGCCGUUAAAUGCGGUCCUGCAUGAAUGACUUAACGAUACAACAGCUGUCUCGAUGAUUGUCUCAGUGAAAUUGGAAUAGCAGUGCAGAUACUGUUUACCUCUAGAUAGACGAGAAGACCCUAUGCAGCUUUACUGUUACUAAUUACAAGAGUGAAAAUUUAGGAUAAUUUCGAGUGUAUAAGGUAGUUGUCUGAUAGCAAUGAAACACCUUUAUUUGUUUCCUAUUAUAUGCUCUUGAGGAUUAGAAGGCAGUUUAUGCGGGGCACAGAUCCCACAAAAAGUACCUGGGUAUAUCCAAAGUUCAUAUUGUAAAUUUGUAAAUUUCUUUACAAAUAUUUUAAUUUGUUAUAAUUAUAUUUAUAAUUAUACAGUUAUUGUUAGAUUAAAUUCAAUAUGUAUUUUUUAUUUAAGUAAGAUUUUAACUAUAUGGUGAAUAGAUGUAUUUUAAACUUUAAUAUUUAAAAGUUUUUUCUCAUAUUAAUAUUGUAUUUUUUACCUUUAUUAAUAUGAUAAUUAAUUAUACUUUAAAAGUUUAAUGGCUAAAUCUUGCUUUACUGUUUGACCUACAAGUCUAUCAGUCGCGUAAGCGGGGCAUAUGAUCACAAGAUGCAUUAAGGAAAGGUCUUGGAUUAUAGAAAAAGUUACGCUAGGGAUUUAUAACUGUGAGUCCUCCAAUAUUAUAAAAUAUUGGUAAUAUAGAACCAUUUUGAGAAAAGUGGAAAUAAAAGGAAAACCUUUUAUGAUAACAUAAAUUGAACAGGCUAAUUUGCGCAAGAGAGUACAAAUUGAGUGCGCGGUUUGGCACCUCGAUGUCGGCUUAGCUCAUCCACAUGAAUGCAAAAAUCAUGAAGGGUUCGACUGUUCGUCGAUUAAAGAGCUACAUGAGCUGGGUUUAAUACGUCGUGAGACAGUAUGGUUUCUAUCUUCUAGAGGGAAUUAAAGUAGAAUAAAGAUAGCCCCUUCGUACGAAAGGAGUUGGGUAUAUUGACCUAUGGUUUACCUGUUGUUUAUGCUAUAUAUUAUAUAAUAUAUCGUUUACUUAUACUUAAGUAAAUUGUUCACAUAGGCAUGGCAGGAAGGCUACGUCAGUUAAAGAUAAGUGCUGAAAGCAUUUAAGCGCGAAGCUUACUUUAGGAUACUUUUAAACGUAGUAGAACACUACGAGUAUAAUUGUUAUAACUCUUCGGAUAUAACGAUUAAUAGGCUUUAGUUGUAUUAAUUUUAAUAUUUUUAGACAUAAAGUACU
rnacentral:rRNA from 1 species